GGUACUCAUUUACUACGGAGUUCCACAUUGACUAGACCAACAUUUUAUCAACAAUUUUCCCAUCAUUUCAACAGCUACAGUUUGAUCACAGUUCCUGUUGAUUUUCCAGAAAAUAUUCAUGAGAAACGAGCCCUAGAAAUUCACCAGAACUGAUCUUUGUUUUGUGACUAGAUCAAAGCAGCUAAAAGCGAAGAUCACAGAGAGAGAUGGCGGAGAGAGACGUGGUGGAUGGAAGAGUUCAACGAGGAGAGGGCGAAGAUCGAUGAAGAUUUGGAGACGAACAGCGAAAGUAUUAUCGCCGCGCUCAAUAUCGCUCUGAUCCUCUCUGCUCUCUCAUCGUCUGAAUUUGGAUGAAAUUGAGGAGAGAGAAAGUGGAAUCAGAGGUAAAAACAGUGGAUCGAGAUCGGAUUUCCGCCACCAGGUGAGUGGAUUCAGUCGUGCUCUUGAACGGCAGCAAUCGUCGAAGAUUCAAGCCAAGAUCAGAGACUGCAGGCACAGCAGAAGAUUGUGAAGCGUGAAGGAGAUUAUAGACACACAUGUAGAUAGAGCGAUAUAUCAUAUAUGCAUCAUCGCCUACCAUCUAAUUUUGCAUUAGAUAGUGUUGGCUAGCAACCUCGUAUCAAUCAUGUUAUUUAUCGGCGACUCAGUCGAUACAACAUGUUAUGUUCGCAGUCCAAAUGUAUUAACGACAAAGCACAGCUCAGCUGAUAGCUGGUAAGAUGUUUCUCCUCUAA